rnacentral:rRNA from 1 species
GCGAGCGAGGUGGCAGGGGCCGGGGUAAGACGUAGGGUGCGGUGUGUGUCCGGAAUUAUUGGGCGUAAAGGGCUCGUAGGCGGUUUGUCGCGUCGGGAGUGAAAACUCGGGGCUUAACCCCGAGCCGGCUUCUGAUACGGGCAGACUAGAGGUAGGCAGGGGAGAACGGAAUUCCUGGUGUAGCGGUGAAAUGCGCAGAUAUCAGGAGGAACACCGGUGGCGAAGGCGGUUCUCUGGGCCUAUCCUGACGCUGAGGAGCGAAAGUGUGGGGAGCGAACAGGAUUAGAUACCCGGGUAGUC